rnacentral:rRNA from 1 species
GGUAACACUGAAUGGAGGACCGAACCGACUUACGUUGAAAAGUGAGCGGAUGAACUGAGGGUAGCGGAGAAAUUCCAAUCGAACCUGGAGAUAGCUGGUUCUCUCCGAAAUAGCUUUAGGGCUAGCCUCAAGUGAUGAUUAUUGGAGGUAGAGCACUGUUUGGACGAGGGGCCCCUCUCGGGUUACCGAAUUCAGACAAACUCCGAAUGCCAAUUAAUUUAACUUGGGAGUCAGAACAUGGGUGAUAAGGUCCGUGUUCGAAAGGGAAACAGCCCAGACCACCAGCUAAGGUCCCAAAAUAUAUGUUAAGUGGAAAAGGAUGUGGCGUUGCCCAGACAACUAGGAUGUUGGCUUAGAAGCAGCCAUCAUUUAAAGAGUGCGUAAUAGCUCACUAGUCGAGUGACACUGCGCCGAAAAUGUACCGGGGCUAAACAUAUUACCGAAGCUGUGGAUUGUCCUUUGGACAAUGGUAGGAGAGCGUUCUAAGGGCGUUGAAGCAUGAUCGUAAGGACAUGUGGAGCGCUUAGAAGUGAGAAUGCCGGUGUGAGUAGCGAAAGACGGGUGAGAAUCCCGUCCACCGAUUGACUAAGGUUUCCAGAGGAAGGCUCGUCCGCUCUGGGUUAGUCGGGUCCUAAGCUGAGGCCGACAGGCGUAGGCGAUGGAUAACAGGUUGAUAUUCCUGUACCACCUAUAAUCGUUUUA